UGGGGAAUAUUGGACAAUGGGCGCAAGCCUGAUCCAGCAAUACCGCGUGUGUGAAGAAGGCCUGAGGGUUGUAAAGCACUUUUAAUGGGGAGGAACACCCGCCGGCCAAUACCCGGCGGACUGACAUUACCCAUAGAAAAAGCACCGGCUAACUCCGUGCCAGCAGCCGCGGUAAUACGGAGGGUGCAAGCGUUAAUCGGAAUUACUGGGCGUAAAGCGUGCGUAGGCGGCUGGCCAAGCCAGAUGUGAAAGCCCCGGGCUCAACCUGGGAACUGCAUUUGGAACUGGCCGGCUAGAGUUUGGGAGAGGGGAGCGGAAUUUCAGGUGUAGCGGUGAAAUGCGUAGAGAUCUGAAGGAACACCAGUGGCGAAGGCGGCUCCCUGGCCCAAAACUGACGCUG
rnacentral:rRNA from 1 species